CAAUCCACGGAUGCAUCAACGAAAGCCUAGAAAACGGAGUUUUCUUAGAAUGCAAGGCAACCCAAAAAUCCCCUGUCUCGGUCCUCCUGAUGUUAUCAGCGUAGCCCGGGAGCUUAGCGAAUAUGUCGCGGGUCCCUGCUUUAGGUCCUUUGACCCAAUAUCGAUGAACAAGUUGCGUUGGAACCUCACAGGAAAGCACGAACGAACCAUCUUUGCUUAUGGCAAGACCAUUAGGGAAAUGUAGACCGUCCAUUAUAACUUUGGCCUCUUUUGUCUUCUUGUCAUAUCGAAUCGCUCUUCCCGUCUUUUCGCCACACAGAAACGCGUAGAAUACGUCCCUGAUCCAUGCACGAACGUAAUAAUUUUAGCAUAUGUCGACAGAAAGUAAAUUUAUACGUUUUACUAAUAACUUGGUAAAAAAAAAAAACUUGGUAAAAAAGAAAAGUGGAUUUUUCUUUGGGUUUACAUGUUAUAAUGAAACCAAAAAUUAGUACUUAAAUAUAUAAUUUCUUGUUUUGAAAAGCUCAUGAUAUCAUUGCAUCACCAUUAUAUUCCAAUAUAUACAUUGAUGCGAGCAAUGCUUUUGUGGACCAUAAGUAAUUUUUCUGCCUAUGGGAUGUUGUCUAGAUGGACUACACAUGGGAGAUUAACUUGUACAUAUUGUAAUGGAACGACAUAUGCGUUUCAACUGAAGAAUGGUAGGAAGACAAGUUGGUUUGAUUGUCACCCUCGAUUUCUUCCCAUUGGCCAUCCUUACCGAAGAAACAAGAAUUUUUUUAGGCACAAAAGGGUUGUGAGAGACACUCCUCCUCCAUACCUAACUGGAGAACAAAUUGAAGCGCAAAUCGACUACUACGGAGCUAACGAAACAGUUCGUUGGGGUGGUAAUUGGCAUGUCCCUCGUAAUAUGCCAGAUUCUUACACGCGAAGGCGAAAGUUCGCUUGUUGGACACAGUUUCCAACUGGAAGGGUGACUGGAUCGUGAAGGGGUAUGAGCGUGGCAACCCCGCUGAGCUCACCACGGAUGUGUGGGAUGGCCUCAUCCGUUAUUGGCGUCUUCCUGAUUCUAUUAGAAUCGCCCAGUCUUGCCCUAACUCCCGUAACACGGUCGAUGAGCACGGAAACGGGCCGAUGCUUUAUGGAACGACUACUGCCUUUUGCAUUUGAGGAGCUACUUCCAACAAACGUACAUGAAGCACUUGCAAGUACGUAGUGUACAUGAAGAGGGUGAGGAAGAAGUUUAACGCGAAGGCGAAAGUUCGCUUGUUGGACACAGUUUCCAACUGGAAGGGUGACUGGAUCGUGAAGGGGUAUGAGCGUGGCAAACCCGCUGAGCUCACCACGGAUGUGUGGGAUGGCCUCAUCCGUUAUUGGCGUCUUCCUGAUUCUAUUAGAAUCGCCCAGUCUUGCCCUAACUCCCGUAACACGGUCGAUGAGCACGGAAACGGGCCGAUGCUUUACACUACGGGCCAAACACCCCACGCCGGUAUCCGUUUGCAAAUGGUAAUUAAAUAUUUUAUUAAAUAAAAUUUUUAAUAGAUAUUUUUAUUCUAACUUUCUUAUUUUUAAUAAAUAUUUUUAUUUUUUGGGACAUCUCCCGUCUCUUAUGGAACUUUACGAGAGGACCCACAAGAACAAGGCGAGCGUAUUUGUAGAUGGCAAGUCCGAGCAAAUCUACAACGACGUGGUUGCUCGGGUUGAAGACCGCCAGACUCAGCUGACCCAGCAGUCUACCGACGGAUUACCCGUCACCUUAUCCACACUUGAAGUGGAUAAGAUUUACGAGGAGGUAAAUUUUCAAAAAUUUUAAUUUUUUAUUAUUCAUUUAAUUUAACUUUAAAUUUUUACUAACAAUAUUUAUUUUUUGUUUUUAAGGUUGUCCCUAAAAAAAAGGGACGGACGUUGGGGAUUGGUUCCGUCAACGAUGUUCCGAGAGCGACAUCGUCUUAUGGUCAGCGACGGGAUGAUGAAGUCACUGAGCUGCGUAACGAGUUGGCCGCGACAAAAUCUCGUAUGGGUGGAGUCGAGGGCUUCUUGGACGUUAUAGUGGCCACAAAUCCGGAAUGGGAGUCCAUGUUGAGGAACAUGCAACAACAACAUCCCAUUCAAGGCGAGUCAUCCGACAUACAUAACGAGGCGGAUGUUGCAAGGAGGAGUGAUGAAUUCUACCAGGCGAUGAACAACCCUUAGUUCUUUUUUUCCGGUUGUUGUAUUAUAAAUUCAAAAUUAUUUAUAUAUAAAAUAUUUUUGUAUUGAUUUAUUUUUAUUCUAAAUUAUAAUUUUUUUAAUGAAUUAAAUAAAUUUAAUUAUUUUUUUAAUUAUAUUUUUAAAUUCUGUAAAAUAAUAAAAACAAAGUAAAUUCGUAGCUAAUGUACGACCUAUUUACGUGGAAACCUUACGAGGAAAUGACGAGAAAAAAUAAACGAGUAUUUUACGAGAAAACAUUUACGAGGAAAUGACGAGGAAAGAUAAACGAGUAUUUUACGAGAAAAUACAUUCGUGGUAGUUACGUGUAUUUUGCGAGAAAACACUUUCAAGGUAUUUACGUGUAGUUUACGAGGAACUCGUUUCGAGGUAUUUACGAGGAAAUAUAAUGACCUCCUUACGUGGAAUAUUUACGUGGUCUUUACGACGAAAUGAUGUACUUCGUCUUUACGACAAAAUAUUUUCCUCGCUAAGUUACGAUGAAUUGGCGAGGAAAUAUGUGUUACGACGGAUGAGUAACGAGCAAACGUGUUUCCUCGCUAAUUCGUCGUAAAGCCUCUUUAACGACGAACUCACGAGGAAAACCGCCCUCGUUAAGCUUAUGUUUUCUUGUAGUGACUUUAUUAUUGACUGGACUCUCCUAUACUCGGAAUUGCAGGUGGUUCGAUCCCCUAAAGUAAAGGCAAGCGCAUAGGCUAUAGAAUCCAAAAUAGAGCUCCUUCGGCUCUAAACUGCUACUGUGCUUAUUUGGUCUAUCAGCAACUCGGCCAGCUACUGACCUAAUUGGUAACUUUUCAGUCAAGGUAUGGAUCACUCACUUCUGAGUCUUUUUGUUGCAGACAAGCUGCUUUGGUCUCACUCCUAGCUUUUCUUAUCGAAAGGAAAAAAGAAGGAUCGUCUCACUCCAGUCAAAUAUGUAUGUGGUUGGGAACUUUCUGUGCUGUUAUGAUUCCAUGAUCUUCAUCGCCACCUCUGUCCUAUAACGCUUUCCUUUAUAGCAGUUAUUGCUCCGGUUCCUGAAGGUAUAGCUCUUGCCGAGGAAUUCCUUUGAAAUCGGAGACUGUUCAAAUUUCCUACUGAGAUAGGCAAGCGAAGGGAGAACUAGAGGUAUCUUGCUAGGCAAAGAAGGUUAGAAUGUAUAGCUCGCGGGUGGGAUUGUCUCACACCGCCUAACAUGAGAAAUAUCCUUUUGGAGAACCAUUAACCAAGACAGAGAGCUUGACAGCGUCGAGGUGCUUUAGCAACUCGACUGAAAGGAGAGGAACCACACCCAUGACUAGCUUGUUUCUGCUUGUUCGUUCGCUUGUAGGUUGCUACGCUGUUUUGCGAGUCAUUCCAUUCUCUUCCCUUAAACUACUACGUGAGGAUCGGAGGGUCGCUACGAGAUUCCUUUCUUCUUAUCUUAAUAGGAACGUAGGGCGUGUUAUGGCUUGAACCCUUUCGAAAAGGUCAGGGCGAAGGGCAUCCAACCAAGCAACAAGGAAAAUUACGAGAACAGAACAAAAGAAGAAAAUACCAAUUCAAUUUGAAUGGAUUCAAAACAAGGUUACUGUAUGGAUCUAGAUUAAAAAUUCUUCUGUUUUCAUCUAUUAAAUAAGAGUGAAUUAUUUGAAAAAUAUAUUUGAAGUUAUCAAGUUGCAAAUAUUUAAUUAAACAGAUCUGACGUGACGCGAAUAAUAAGCGUGUAAUCAUUGUCAAAAGCUAAUACCUAUUGUGGGAUAUGCCCUGUAGGCAGGAGUAAGAAGGUCAGCUAGGAAAUCAACAGAUAACAACAACAACGGAGGGAAUGAGUUCCUCCGGCAUCUAGGUAGAACCUUCCAGAAAACCGGGAAAGUAGGGCAUCAUAUAGUAAAGUAGGACUACUCCCAGAAUCUAUAAUUGUCGCAAAAAGUCCAAUAUACAUACAUUAUUGGAUCUUUUGAAUAACAGUCUAGAAGACCUUAUCAAAAUGGAACAUUUUCACAUAGAAGAUGUAAAAAAGAUUUUAGACAUUUUAGAAAAAAAUAAAAAAGGCAUAAAAAAAAAAUUGAUUACAUUGAAAAAAAAAUUUAAUUUUUGGUAGAGCACAACAUGUGAUGUUCCAAAUAGAACUGUACCACAAGAAAAGAAGAAAAAAAGACAUAUAUAUAUAUACAUGUGCAUUCUUUUUUAUUUUAUACGAGGAAAUGACGAGGAAAGAUAAACGAGUAUUUUACGAGAAAAUACAUUCGUGGUAGUUACGUGUAUUUUGCGAGAAAACACUUUCAAGGUAUUUACGUGUAGUUUACGAGGAACUCGUUUCGAGGUAUUUACGAGGAAAUAUAAUGACCUCCUUACGUGGAAUAUUUACGUGGUCUUUACGACGAAAUGAUGUACUUCGUCUUUACGACAAAAUAUUUUCCUCGCUAAGUUACGAUGAAUUGGCGAGGAAAUAUGUGUUAUGAUGGAUGAGUAACGAGCAAACGUGUUUCCUCGCUAAUUCGUCGUAAAGCCUCUUUAACGACGAACUCACGAGGAAAACCGCCCUCGUUAAGCUUAUGUUUUCUUGUAGUGACUUUAUUAUUGACUGGACUCUCCUAUACUCGGAAUUGCAGGUGGUUCGAUCCCCUAAAGUAAAGGCAAGCGCAUAGGCUAUAGAAUCCAAAAUAGAGCUCCUUCGGCUCUAAACUGCUACUGUGCUUAUUUGGUCUAUCAGCAACUCGGCCAGCUACUGACCUAAUUGGUAACUUUUCAGUCAAGGUAUGGAUCACUCACUUCUGAGUCUUUUUGUUGCAGACAAGCUGCUUUGGUCUCACUCCUAGCUUUUCUUAUCGAAAGGAAAAAAGAAGGAUCGUCUCACUCCAGUCAAAUAUGUAUGUGGUUGGGAACUUUCUGUGCUGUUAUGAUUCCAUGAUCUUCAUCGCCACCUCUGUCCUAUAACGCUUUCCUUUAUAGCAGUUAUUGCUCCGGUUCCUGAAGGUACCCGGGAGCUUAGCGAAUAUGUCGCGGGUCCCUGCUUUAGGUCCUUUGACCCAAUAUCGAUGAACAAGUUGCGUUGGAACCUCACAGGAAAGCACGAACGAACCAUCUUUGCUUAUGGCAAGACCAUUAGGGAAAUGUAGACCGUCCAUUAUAACUUUGGCCUCUUUUGUCUUCUUGUC
rnacentral:lncRNA from 1 species